GGAAACCAGAGAACGUGGGGAAAUUGAUCAUCGUCAAAAGGGCAAAGCAAAUAGCAAAUAUCUGCAAACAGACAAAUUCAAUUAAACAUGGCUUCCCGGUCACGCCAAGAACCGGGAAAAUGGCAGUAAAAACAUACAAACACGCAUCAAAGCUAGAGAAUGAGAGCAAUGGCUGUGUCUUUGUGAUGGCGGAGAUGGUAAGGGAGAGUAUGGCUGAAGAUUUGGCCAUUGCCGGAGGUCUGAUCGCCGUUCAGUUCAUCACCGCCGUCCACGCUGUGUUUCAAAGCUAUCUCAUGACUCUGGAGAUCGAUCCUCUUACCCUUGUCAUUUUUACUUGCUUCUCUACUUUCCUCGUCGUCUUCCCGUUCGCCAUCUACUUUGAAAGGACUAAGUGGCCCCAGAAAUUCAGUUUCAAGUUAAUCCUGCAGAUAUUGAUUCUUUCCUUUGGAGGGGUAACUCUGUUCCAGUCCUUCUCCCUUAAAGGAAUGAAACUGACUUCGCCAACCAUGGGAACUGCCAUGCCAAACCUAGCACCGGGCCUCAUCUUCUUCAUCGCCUGGACUUUCAGGUUAGAGAAGAUCAACGUAAGAAGCAUAUAUAGUAAAGUCAAAAUCUUAGGCACGAUAAUCUGCGUGGCAGGGGCUCUCGCAAUGAGCAUAAUGCAGAGCAUAUCUUCACCUGCGACGAAAAUAGAGGCCGGAAUGAAAUUGCCAUCGUUCCCACCCGAUGCUAUGUUUGAUAUGAAAAAGAUCAAAGGUUGUCUUUACCUUGUGGCUGCUGUCUUCAUAUUAUCAAGCGCUUAUGUUUUGCAGGCUUUAACUUUGCGAGACUUUCCUGCACCCAUAUCCCUCAGCGCAGCCAUAUCCUUACUCGGAGCUUUCAUGACUGCAAUAGCUCAGUUGCUUGAAGAUCACAAAUUGAAAACUGGUGGGCAAUAUCUCAGCGUUGCGAAACUCAUUGGCUUUACUUUUCUGGCAGGUGCAGUGCUUGGAUUAUGCUUCAGCUUCCAUGGAUGGGCAGUAAAGAAGAAAGGACCAGUUUUGGUGUCCAUGUUCAGUCCCAUUUCUACCGUCUGCUCCAUCAUUUUGUCUGCCGUAACUCUCGGAGAUACUAUUAAUAUCGGAAGCCUUGUGGGUAUGUUCCUCAUGUUCACGGGGCUCUAUUUUGUGCUCUGGGCAAAAGGGAAAGAAGGGUUCGCUGAUGCAGAUAGCUUAGAGGCCGAGUUUGAUGCAGAGAAGCCUCUCCUGAGUUGAAGUGCGAGAGUUUUUUAGCGAGUAAUUAUUAUGUGCAUAUUCUCAUCGCUAGAACCAUAGAGUGAGAUAGGUCAAGCCACAGUAGAUUUUAUAAUAAGAUAUAUACUGGUGGUACAAGGUGAUGGAAAUUCAGAACGAGUCUGUGAAGUGCUUUUGGAGUGUAAAUAGCAAAGUGUAAUAGAUGGUUUGAAGGUCACGAUCAACUCAUUAAGCAGGGAGACCAGCUAUGAUUGUGCAGCUCGUUGCAAGAUAUCAC